GGGUGCCUGAGACUUUCUGUUUUCAGGCUAACCGGGAAUCAGAAAGACGAAGGCCCCGACCGAUAUUUCUAUCAACUGUGUACUGCACCCAUUUUGUUGGACGAUGAAAUGGAAUAGCCCCUAAUAUGUCAAAGCCAAAAUACCCUUUUGAAAAG
rnacentral:antisense_RNA from 1 species